UACGUAGGGACCGAGCGUUGUCCGGAAUUAUUGGGCGUAAAGAGCUCGUAGGCGGUCUGUCGCGUCUGCUGUGAAAACUCGGGGCUUAACCCCGGGCCUGCAGUGGGUACGGGCAGACUAGAGUGCGGUAGGGGAGACUGGAAUUCCUGGUGUAGCGGUGAAAUGCGUAGAUAUCGGAAGGAACACCAGUGGCGAAAGCGGCUUCCUGGUCCAGCACCGACGUUCAGGCACGAAAGCGUGGGGAGCAAACAGG
rnacentral:rRNA from 1 species